GACGAACGCUGGCGGCGUGCUUAACACAUGCAAGUCGAACGAAGAGCGAUGGAAGCUUGCUUCUAUCAAUCUUAGUGGCGAACGGGUGAGUAACGCGUAAUCAACCUGCCCUUCAGAGGGGGACAACAGUUGGAAACGACUGCUAAUACCGCAUACGAUCUAAUCUCGGCAUCGAGGAUAGAUGAAAGGUGGCCUCUACAUGUAAGCUAUCACUGAAGGAGGGGAUUGCGUCUGAUUAGCUAGUUGGAGGGGUAACGGCCCACCAAGGCGAUGAUCAGUAGCCGGUCUGAGAGGAUGAACGGCCACAUUGGGACUGAGACACGGCCCAGACUCCUACGGGAGGCAGCAGUGGGGAAUCUUCCGCAAUGGACGAAAGUCUGACGGAGCAACGCCGCGUGAGUGAUGACGGCCUUCGGGUUGUAAAGCUCUGUUAAUCGGGACGAAAGGUCUUCCUGCGAAUAGUAGGAGAAAUGAC
rnacentral:rRNA from 1 species